GCCAGCCCGCUCAAGAAACUUAAUGAAUUGACGGGGCCCGCACAAGCGGAGGAACAUGUGGUUUAAUCGAUGAUACGCGAGGACCUUACCUGGGCUAGAACGCAAUCGGAAUCAGGCCGAAAGGUCUGCGCCAGCGAUGGCCGCUUGCGAGGUGCUGCAUGGUUGUCGUCAGCUCGUGCCGUGAGGUGUCGGGUUAAGUCCCAUAACGAGCGCAACCCCUACUGCUAGUUGCCAGCGGGUCAUGCCGGGGACUCUAGCGGAACUGCCAGCGUAAGCUGCGAGGAAGGUGGGGAUGACGUCAAAUCAGCACGGCCCUUACGUCCAGGGCUACACACGUGUUACAAUGGCCAGUACAGAGGGCAGCCGCCCCGCGAGGGGGCGCUAAUCCUAAAAGCUGGUCCCAGUUCGGAUCGGAGUCUGCAACUCGACUCCAUGAAGUUGGAAUCGCUAGUAAUCGUGGAUCAGCAUGCCACGGUGAAUACGUUCCCGGGCCUU
rnacentral:rRNA from 1 species